rnacentral:rRNA from 1 species
UACGUAGGGAGCAAGCGUUGUUCGGAUUUACUGGGCGUAAAGGGCGCGUAGGCGGCAAUUCAAGUCAUAUGUGAAAUCUCCGGGCUUAACUCGGAACGGUCAGAUGAUACUGCUUUGCUAGAGUGCAGAAGGGGCAAUCGGAAUUCUCGGUGUAGCGGUGAAAUGCGUAGAUAUCGAGAGGAACACCAGAGGUGAAGACGGGUUGCUGGGCUGACACUGACGCUGAGGCGCGAAAGCCAGGGGAGCAAACGGG